rnacentral:rRNA from 1 species
GUGGGGAAUAUUGCACAAUGGGGGAAACCCUGAUGCAGCGACGCCGCGUGGGGGAUGACGGCCUUCGGGUUGUAAACCUCUUUCAGUAGGGAAGAAGCCUUUGGGUGACGGUACCUGCAGAAGAAGUACCGGCUAACUACGUGCCAGCAGCCGCGGUAAUACGUAGGGUACAAGCGUUGUCCGGAAUUAUUGGGCGUAAAGAGCUCGUAGGUGGUUUGUCGCGUCUGCUGUGGAAUCGUGCCGCUUAACGGUGCGCGUGCAGUGGGUACGGGCAGACUGGAGUGCAGUAGGGGAGUCUGGAAUUCCUGGUGUAGCGGUGAAAUGCGCAGAUAUCAGGAGGAACACCGGUGGCGAAGGCGGGACUCUGGGCUGUUACUGACGCUGAGGAGCGAAAGCAUGGGGAGCGA